rnacentral:rRNA from 1 species
AUGCAGUCGACGACCUUCGGGUUAGUGGCGGACGGGUGAGUAACGCGUGAGAAUCUGCCCUCAGGAGGGGGAUAACAGUUGGAAACGACUGCUAAUACCCCAUAUGCCGAGAGGUGAAACGAAUUUUGCCUGGGGAUGAGCUCGCGUCUGAUUAGCUUGUUGGUGGGGUAAAAGCCUACCAAGGCUUCGAUCAGUAGCUGGUCUGAGAGGACGAUCAGCCACACUGGGACUGAGAUACGGCCCAGACUCCUACGGGAGGCAGCAGUGGGGAAUUUUCCGCAAUGGGCGCAAGCCUGACGGAGCAACGCCGCGUGAGGGAUGAAGGCCUUUGGGCUGUAAACCUCUUUUCUCAAGGAAGAAGAUCUGACGGUACUUGAGGAAUAAGCCACGGCUAAUUCCGUGCCAGCAGCCGCGGUAAUACGGGAGUGGCAAGCGUUAUCCGGAAUUAUUGGGCGUAAAGCGUCCGCAGGCGGCCGUUUAAGUCUGUUGUUAAAUCGUGGAGCUCAACUCCAUCACGGCAAUGGAAACUGUUCGGCUUGAGUAUGGUAGGGGCAGAGGGAAUUUCCGGUGUAGCGGUGAAAUGCGUAGAUAUCGGGAAGAACACCAGUGGCAAAAGCGCUCUGCUGGGCCAUUACUGACGCUCAUGGACGAAAGCCAGGGGAGCGAAAGGGAUUAGAUAC